ACAUCGUGGUGUGGAAACUUUCUCAAAAGUCCUUUGAAUCUUUUCCAAGCUUCAUAAACAGAUUCUGCAUCAGGUUGAGAGAAGUUAUUAAUUUCUUGUCUCAUUCU